UACGUAGGGUGCGAGCGUUGUCCGGAAUUAUUGGGCGUAAAGGGCUCGUAGGCGGUUUGUCGCGUCGGGAGUGAAAACACCGGGCUUAACUCGGUGCUGGCUUUCGAUACGGGCAGACUAGAGGUAUUCAGGGGAGAACGGAAUUCCUGGUGUAGCGGUGAAAUGCGCAGAUAUCAGGAGGAACACCGGUGGCGAAGGCGGUUCUCUGGGAGUGUCCUGACGCUGAGGAGCGAAAGUGUGGGGAGCGAACAGG
rnacentral:rRNA from 1 species